CGUAGCCCUUAUGAAACGAUUUUAUCGUGGACAGACGAAAAAAGUUGAAGGGUGAUAUAAAUCGUUCAUAGGCAAGUAUUUUGAUCCACUCUAUUUCGUCGUUCCUUCGAAUACUUUUUGUUGUUUGUUGUGUUAACCUCGGAUUAUAUGAAAGUAUAAGAAUGCCAUCUGCUCUUACAGCUGUAUGUUCUUCGUCGAUACGGCGGUCCGGAUUAGGUUUUGUUGUUGGCAUCCAUAUAUGUAUUUGCGAGGGGAUCAAACUAUCUUCUCUCGGUGUUCUUCAACUAUUCAUGCCUACAAUGCCUACAAAUCGAGGAGGGGUGAACAAAUUCGUGGUUUAGGAAGGAGAUCGGAUGAUAGAGAAUCCGGUUCAGACAAUGAGGUGGUGGAGAGCACAUGACUGAAUACUGAUUAGCUGCAAUAUACUAUGAAGAUAACUUGCCUAGAAACUGAACAAGGAGCUGCACAAGCAAUCAUUAGGUCUGUUGUAGACUUUAAAAGAGACCUUUGGUCAAAGGUAUCUGAUAAUGCAAUGGGCCUUGGACAGAGGAUGCCUGAUCCAGAUCCGA